GACGAACGCUGGCGGCGUGCUUAACACAUGCAAGUCGAACGGAAAGGCCCUGCUUUUGUGGGGUGCUCGAGUGGCGAACGGGUGAGUAACACGUGAGUAACCUGCCCUUGACUUUGGGAUAACUUCAGGAAACUGGGGCUAAUACCGGAUAGGAGCUCCUGCUGCAUGGUGGGGGUUGGAAAGUUUCGGCGGUUGGGGGUGGACUCGCGGCUUAUCAGCUUGUUGGUGGGGUAGUGGCUUACCAAGGCUUUGACGGGUAGCCGGCCUGAGAGGGUGACCGGCCACAUGGGGACUGAGAUACGGCCCAGACCCCUACGGGGGGCAGGAGGGGGGAAUAUUGCACAAUGGGGGGAAGCCUGAUGCAGCAACGCCGCGGGCGGGAUGACGGUCUUCGGGCUGUAAACCGCUUUCGCCUGGGACGAAGGGUGAGUGACGGUAAUGGGUAAAGAAGCACCGGCUAACUACGU
rnacentral:rRNA from 1 species